GACGAACGCUGGCGGCACGCUUAACACAUGCAAGUCGAACGGAGAAUAUUUGAGUUUACUUAGGUAUUCUUAGUGGCGGACGGGUGAGUAACACGUGAGCAACCUGCCUUUGAGAGAGGGAUAGCUUCUGGAAACGGAUGGUAAUACCUCAUAACGUAGUUUUACCGCAUGAUAGGACUACCAAAGAUUUAUCACUCAAAGAUGGGCUCGCGUCUGAUUAGAUAGUUGGUGAGGUAACGGCUCACCAAGUCGACGAUCAGUAGCCGGACUGAGAGGUUGAACGGCCACAUUGGGACUGAGACACGGCCCAG
rnacentral:rRNA from 1 species